GUACCUCCCCUCCUCCUCGGAGGAGAGGUUGGGGAGGGAGGCCGCUGUGCUGAUCCGACUCAACCAUGGGGUCUCCAGGAUCGAGCCCCUUCCCUAACCUCUCCCCGCGGCGGGGAGGGGAAACGCCGCCAAUGCCGAUGGCAGGCCGAUAAGACCCUCCUGCUCCCUGCUAGUCCGGAAUCCUCACCCGGCUGGAUCCCUCCUUAACCGAAUUCCGCACACUGGGGCCGUUACAGUGGAUCCAGCUCGGUACAAGCUUGGGUAAUCAUGUCAUAGCUGUUCCUGUGUAAAUUGUUACCCGCUA
rnacentral:rRNA from 1 species